rnacentral:rRNA from 1 species
GCGGACGGGUGAGUAACGCGUGGGUAACCUGCCUCAUACAGGGGGAUAGCAGCUGGAAACGGCUGGUAAUACCGCAUAAGCGCACAGUACCGCAUGGUACAGUGUGAAAAACUCCGGUGGUAUGAGAUGGACCCGCGUCUGAUUAGCUUGUUGGCGGGGUAACGGCCCACCAAGGCGACGAUCAGUAGCCGACCUGAGAGGGUGACCGGCCACAUUGGGACUGAGACACGGCCCAGACUCCUACGGGAGGCAGCAGUGGGGAAUAUUGCACAAUGGAGGAAACUCUGAUGCAGCGACGCCGCGUGAGUGAAGAAGUAGUUCGCUAUGUAAAGCUCUAUCAGCAGGGAAGAUAGUGACGGUACCUGACUAAGAAGCUCCGGCUAAAUACGUGCCAGCAGCCGCGGUAAUACGUAUGGAGCAAGCGUUAUCCGGAUUUACUGGGUGUAAAGGGAGUGUAGGUGGCCAGGCAAGUCAGAAGUGAAAGCCCGGGGCUCAACCCCGGGACUGCUUUUGAAACUGCAGGGCUAGAGUGCAGGAGGGGCAAGUGGAAUUCCUAGUGUAGC